UGUUGUGCUCCUCCCGUUCUCAUUAACCAAAUAGUGCAGACUGUGGCUGUAUGACUCGUGUAUAUAUCCAAUUGGACCAUGAAAAUCAAACUGAUAGCAAGAACUUGAUAUAGUGCUAAGUUAUAGUUCGUAAACAGAUCCAUAUUAGUUUAGAGAUCCGCACAACAAAUUUAUACAUUCAGAAUGACCACCAAAAUCUAGCAGCACAAUUAACUAGAUUGGAAGAAUUUAUUUGAUUAAUAUGUGCACAUGAAACAACAAAUUAACCCGUGUGAACUAUCCACAUUGGUCUGAGUUAUGCUGAACUUUUUGAUCUUUUUAUUAACCACAUCGGUGGUCUAAAAGAAUUAAUGAGUAGCAACACAGACUAAGAAAUUGCUAUUUAUCUUAUCUAUGCUAAGAAACCGGAGACUGGAUUUACCAACAUGGAAGGAUUCCUCAAGAGCACAUCAGCACCUGAAGCUGCGGCUGUCGCAGCUCUACAAUUUUUCUUCUUUCCGGAUGCCCGACAGCCUGAGCAUGCAAGAGCAGCAGCACGAGCAGGCCGUGCUGUGCAACAUCAGCAGAGCGCUCUCAGUGCAGCGGAACUACUCGGGCGUCUCUGAUGACAACAUAUUUGAUACUGAAGUUGAAGAUUGUAGCACGGCAUUCGUACUAGUAAUAAUUACAUGUAGGCCUAUUUUUGAAUGCCUAUUUUUCAGUUGUUUUGGGAAUUAGACCAAAGAGUAAUGAUUGUUGUUGUCUUGUUGCAGAUCAAAGAUGCCAAGAAGACAACUAAUGUGCCAGGAGGUGCGGGUACUUAGCCACACCUAGCAUUGGAUGUGAGGAGGACUUGGAGUGUCAUGGAACACAUAUGGCUGUUUGCAGUAUUUUGGACCAACCAACUUCAAUCAUUUCUUGAAUCUUAUGUGUGUUCUGGACCAUUUGGUGCUUCAAGUGUUUUGGAGUAGAAACUUUGUGCUCAUGUA